AGUGAACGCUGGCGGUAGGCCUAACACAUGCAAGUCGAACGGCAGCACAGUAAGAGCUUGCUCUUACGGGUGGCGAGUGGCGGACGGGUGAGGAAUACAUCGGAAUCUACUUUUUCGUGGGGGAUAACGUAGGGAAACUUACGCUAAUACCGCAUACAACCUACGGGUGAAAGCAGGGGAUCUUCGGACCUUGCGCGAUUGAAUGAGCCGAUGUCGGAUUAGCUAGUUGGCGGGGUAAAGGCCCACCAAGGCGACGAUCCGUAGCUGGUCUGAGAGGAUGAUCAGCCACGCUGGAACUGAGACACGGUCCAGACUCCUACGGGAGGCAGCAGUGGGGAAUAUUGGACAAUGGGCGCAAGCCUGAUCCAGCCAUACCGCGUGGGUGAAGAAGGCCUUCGGGUUGUAAAGCCCUUUUGUUGGGAAAGAAAAGCAGCAGGUUAAUACCCCGCUGUUCUGACGGUACCCAAAGAAUAAGCACCGGCUAACUUCGUG
rnacentral:rRNA from 1 species